AUUGAACGCUGGCGGCAGGCCUAACACAUGCAAGUCGAACGAGUUGCGGACGGGUGAGUAAUGUCUGGGAAACUGCCCGAUGUAGGUGGAUAACUACUGGAAACGGUAGCUAAUACCGCAUCCCAUCAGAUGUUCCCAGAUGGGAUUAGCUAGUAGGUGGGGUAACGGCUCACCAAGGCGACGAUCCCUCGCUGGUCUGAGAGGAUGACCAGCCACCCUGGAACGUGGACACGGUCCAGACUCCUACGGGAGGCAGCAGUGGGGAAUAUUGCACAAUGGGCGCAAGCCUGAUGCAGCCAUGCCGCGUGUAUGAAGAAGGCCUUCGGGUUGUAAAGUACUUUCAGCGAGGAGGCGUUACUCGCAGAAGAAGCACCGGCUAACUCCGUGCCAGCCGCCGCGGUAAUUC
rnacentral:rRNA from 1 species